rnacentral:rRNA from 1 species
AUUGAACGCUGGCGGCAUGCUUUACACAUGCAAGUCGAACGGCAGCACGGGGGCGAACCCUGGUGGCGAGUGGCGAACGGGUGAGUAAUGCAUCGGAACGUAUCCUUAAGUGGGGGAGUAACGCAUCGAAAGAUGCGCUAAUACCGCAUAAUCUCUGAGGAGAAAAGCAGGGGAUCGCAAGACCUUGCGCUUUUGGAGCGGCCGAUGUCUGANAGCUAGUUGGUGAGGUAAAGGCUUACCAAGGCUUCGAUCAGUAGCUGGUCUGAGAGGACGACCAGCCACACUGGGACUGAGACACGGCCCA